UUCAGAGGUGGCAAGCGUUGUUCGGAUUCAUUGGGCGUAAAGGGUCCGCAGGCGGCCCGGAAAGUCGGAUGUGAAAUCCCACGGCUCAACCGUGGAACUGCAUUCGAAACUUCUGGGCUCGAGCCGAGGAGGGGUGAGGGGAAUUCCCGGUGUAAGGGUGAAAUCUGCAGAUAUCGGGAGGAACACCAGUCGCGAAGGCGCCUCACUAGACUCGUGCUGACGCUCAGGGACGAAAGCCAGGGGAGCGAACGGGAUUAGAAACCCUAGUAGU
rnacentral:rRNA from 1 species